UCCAAUCCUUUUCAACCCCCAGCUUUCAUCGCUUCCCUCUUAAAAUCGGUUUUUUCUCCAACUCCAUCAUUCAUGAGAAUAACGACAACGCACUCCACCUUAAUACCGGUCUCUGAACAUUCAACAUCCAUCCCCUUGGAGCAAGGGAGAGGGAGAGGGAAAGAGAAAGUGGGAGUCAGCAACAUUUCCUAAUACUUUCCUUAUUGAAUGAUUGUAAAGCGGGGAGAGAUUAAGAUGAUAGAUUCACAAUAGUUAGGGGAGAAAAGUAGAAAGAAACAAAUGAUACUCUCAACCACUUUUUUUCCUUUCC
rnacentral:misc_RNA from 1 species